UACGGGGGGAGCAAGCGUUGUUCGGAUUUACUGGGCGUAAAGGGCGCGUAGGCGGCCACCGCAAGUCGACUGUGAAAUCCCCGGGCUCAACCCGGGAACUGCGUCCGAUACUGGCAGGCUUGAAUCCGGGAGAGGGAUGUGGAAUUCCAGGUGUAGCGGUGAAAUGCGUAGAUAUCUGGAGGAACACCGGUGGCGAAGGCGGCAUCCUGGACCGGUAUUGACGCUGAGGAGCGAAAGCCAGGGGAGCAAACGGG
rnacentral:rRNA from 1 species